UACACAUCUCGGCGCCCUCGAUACUAGGCAUAAGCUCGUAAGUGGCGCAAGGGUGAGUAAUGUAUAGCUAAUCUGUCCUUCACUAGAGGACAACAGUUGGAAACGACUGCUAAUACUCUAUAGUGUAGGAUGAGGCUAUAUUGUAUCAGCUAGUUGGUGAGGUAAUGGCGCACCAAGGCUAUGACGCAUAACUGGUCUGAGAGGAUGAUCAGUCGCACUGGAACUGAGAAACAGUGCAGACUCCUACGGGAGGCAGCAGUAGGGAAUAUUGCUCAAUGGGGGAAAUCCUGAAGCGGCUACGCCGCGUGGAGGAGUACACUUUUCGGAGCGUAAACGCCUUUUGUUAGGGAAGCGGUACCUAACGAAUAAGCACCGGCUAACGCCGUGCCAGCAGCCGCGGUAAUAC
rnacentral:rRNA from 1 species